rnacentral:tRNA from 1 species
UAAAUUUGCAAUUUAAAAAAAAAUGAUAUUAAAUUGCAAAUUUAAAGGUUUAUUUAAUUU